UAGGGAAUCUUCCGCAAUGGACGAAAGUCUGACGGAGCAACGCCGCGUGAGUGAAGAAGGAUUUCGGUUCGUAAAACUCUGUUGUUAGGGAAGAAAAAAUGUAUAGUAACUAUAUACAAAAGAGACGGUACCUAACCAGAAAGCCACGGCUAACUACGUGCCAGCAGCCGCGGUAAUACGUAGGUGGCAAGCGUUGUCCGGAAUUAUUGGGCGUAAAGCGCGCGCAGGUGGUUUAGAAAGUCUGAUGUGAAAGCCCACGGCUCAACCGUGGAGGGUCAUUGGAAAUUAAUAAACUUGAGUGCAGGAGAGAAAAGUGGAAUUCCUAGUGUAGCGGUGAAAUGCGUAGAGAUUAGGAGGAACACCGGUGGCGAAAGCGGCUUUUUGGCCUGCAACUGACACUGAGGCGCGAAAGCGUGGGGAGCAAACAGG
rnacentral:rRNA from 1 species